GACGAACGCUGGCGGCGUGCUUAACACAUGCAAGUCGAACGAUGAUCUGGCAGCUUGCUGCUGGGGAUUAGUGGCGAACGGGUGAGUAACACGUGAGUAACCUGCCCUGGACUCUGGAAUAACCCCGAGAAAUCGGAGCUAAUACCGGAUAGGACCCUGUACCGCAUGGUGUGGGGUGGCACGUUUUUUGGGGCUGGGAUGGACGCGCGGCCUAUCAGCUUGUUGGUGAGGUAAUGGCUCACCAAGGCGUCGACGGGUAGCCGGCCUGAGAGGGUGACCGGCCACACUGGGACUGAGACACGGCCCAGACUCCUACGGGAGGCAGCAGUGGGGAAUAUUGCACAAUGGGCGCAAGCCUGAUGCAGCAACGCCGCGUGCGGGAUGACGGCCUUCGGGUUGUAAACCGCUUUUAGUAAGGAAGAAGGGGAGCUUGCUCCUUGACGGUACUUGCAGAAAAAGGACCGGCUAACUACGUGCCAGCCGCCGCGGUAACAC
rnacentral:rRNA from 1 species